GGGGCAGUAGCUCAGUUGGGAGAGCGUCCCGUUUGCAACGGGAAGGUCGCCGGUUCGAACCCGGUCUGCUCCA
rnacentral:tRNA from 1 species